CCAAACUGGGGAUGGGAUGGAACAUCCCUUCCUUGCCCCAUGGAUAAAGAAUUGGAGGGCGGAGGUGGUUGGAGGUCACGGUAAAGAAUAAAAGGCCCUUUGAGUUUUGGGGCCUGGCAUCCCAGAGUCAUGGGACCCCUUUCAGGCUGGUCAUGGGAUCUGGGGAGAGGAAAACUCUCCUCCUCCUCCCCGGAUCCAAAUUAAGUCCUCUUAAGUCGGUUUUAAAUUCCUGCCCUCCCUCCUGCACCCUCCUGCUCUUUCCACCACUUGGGAUUUUCACGUGAUUGUCAUACAGACGCGGAGGGUAUAAAAGGAGCCUGGAGGGACCCCCGUUCCACCGUCUGGGGAGAAGAAGGUGAAAGGGAGACGCAGAGCACUCCGGCCUCCGCGCAUGGGCCUGGCGGAGAGGAUGGAGACUCCCAAGGCCCACCCAAAGAACAAUCCUCAAACUUGGAGACGGUGAACCUGGGACGAUUAUUCUCUGCUCAGACCUUUGCAAAGGAAGGGAAUUCGAACCCGUGACCCCUUGGCCCUGUGGCUUUCCCUUUGUCAUCCUAUGCCUGGGCGAUCCUUGGAGGCUGGGACGAUAAAGGGAAGCCCACGGGGCUCUGGGCCCGACUGGAGCUGGGAAAAGGAGGCAGAAAUGCCACCCCUGCGAGGGAGACCGCACAUGCCUUUCCAUCCAGAAACCUCACCUCGGACCCAUCAUUUGCCACCGACAAACCUUCAAGGAUUUGGCAGCCAUCUGCCUACCACAGCCUUUCCAAUGUAUUUCCUAGCAGCUUUAAAAAGAAAUGUAUAUGAAGACUAGCAACUUGAUUUGUUAAAAAAUAAUUGAAGUCUGUAACCGUCCGGUGGAUAAAUACUUAGCUUUUCUGGAUCAGAAGAUGGUAGGCUUUUACUGGCCUUUUUGUCCUCUGGGUCUUGGAAAAGCCUUAAAUAAUUGUCUUAUAACUUCAGUUUUAAUGAUUGUGGAAGGUCUAUUGUAGAAGUAAAGGAAGAUGCUUGAAACCUGGAGAGCUUUAAGGCAAAAAGACACACUGAAAAUGUUAAAAAUGACAUUAAAUGUACUCUUGCCAUGACAUACCUUUAAACUGACUUAUAAAAAACC